rnacentral:rRNA from 1 species
UCGAGAAUCAUUCGCAAUGGGCGAAAGCCUGACGAUGCGACGCCGUGUGAGCGAUGAAGGCCUUCGGGUUGUAAAGCUCUUUCGCCUGGGAACAAGAGAGAUCGGCUAAUAUCCGGUCAAUUUGAGGGUACCAGGUAAAGAAGCACCGGCUAACUCCGUGCCAGCAGCUGCGGUAAUACGGAGGGUGCAAGCAUUAAUCGGAUUUAUUGGGCGUAAAGGGCGCGUAGGCGGGGAGAUAAGUCAGAUGUGAAAUCCCGGGGCUCAACCUCGGAACAGCAUUUGAAACUAUCUUUCUUGAGGGUAGGAGGAGAAAACGGAAUUCCACAAGUAGCGGUGAAAUGCGUAGAUAUGUGGAAGAACACCGGUGGCGAAGGCGGUUUUCUAUCUUAUUCCUGACGCUGAGGCGCGAAAGCAAGGGGAUCAAACA